rnacentral:rRNA from 1 species
AUUGAACGCUGGCGGCAUGCUCUACACAUGCAAGUCGAACGGUAACAGGCCGCAAGGUGCUGACGAGUGGCGAACGGGUGCGUAAUGCAACGGAACGUGCCCAGUCGUGGGGGAUAACUACUCGAAAGAGUAGCUAAUACCGCAUACGAUCUAUGGAUGAAAGCGGGGGACCGUAAGGCCUCGCGCGAUUGGAGCGGCCGAUGUCAGAUUAGGUAGUUGGUGGGGUAAAGGCUCACCAAGCCAACGAUCUGUAGCUGGUCUGAGAGGACGACCAGCCACACUGGGACUGAGACACGGCCCAGACUCCUACGGGAGGCAGCAGUGGGGAAUUUUGGACAAUGGGCGCAAGCCUGAUCCAGCAAUGCCGCGUGCAGGAAGAAGGCCUUCGGGUUGUAAACUGCUUUUGUACGGAACGAAACGGCUCUGGUUAAUACCCGGGGCUAAUGACGGUACCGGAAGAAUAAGCACCGGCUAACUACGUG